rnacentral:rRNA from 1 species
GUAGGUGGCAAGCGUUGUCCGGAAUUAUUGGGCGUAAAGCGCGCGCAGGCGGUUCUUUAAGUCUGAUGUGAAAGCCCACGGGCUCAACCGUGGAGGGUCAUUGGAAACUGGAGAACUUGAGUACAGAAGAGGAAAGCGGAAUUCCACGUGUAGCGGUGAAAUGCGUAGAGAUGUGGAGGAACACCAGUGGCGAAGGCGGCUUUCUGGUCUGUAACUGACGCUGAGGCGCGAAAGCGUGGGAAGCAAACAGGAUUAGAUACCCUGGUAGUCCACGCCGUAAACGAUGAGUGCUAAGUGUUAGGGGGUUUCCGCCCCUUAGUGCUGCAGCUAACGCAUUAAGCACUCCGCCUGGGGAGUACGGCCGCAAGGCUG